rnacentral:rRNA from 1 species
GGAGGGGGCCAGCGUUAUUCGGAAUUAUUGGGCGUAAAGGGCGCGUAGGCGGCUUGGUAAGUUGAAGGUGAAAUCCCUCGGCCCAACCGAGGAAUUGCCUUCGAAACUGCCUCGCUCGAGGCCGGGAGAGGGUAGCGGAAUUCCCAGUGUAGCGGUGAAAUGCGUAGAUAUUGGGAGGAACACCAGUGGCGAAGGCGGCUACCUGGACCGGUUCUGACGCUGAGGCGCGAAAGCGUGGGGAGCAAACAGGAUUAGAUACCCUGGGUAGUCCACGCUGUAAACGAUGGGCACUCGGUGCUGCGGGUAUCGACCCCCCUGCGGUGCCUUAGCUAACGCGUUAAGUGCCCCGCCUGGGGAGUACGGUCGCAAGGCUG